AUUAGUAGCAGUAUAUUUUUUACAAGAUAAGAUAAAAAUGAGUACCACUUGUGGAAAACAGAAAAGCCGGUGUCUCUGACAUAGCCAAACAGGGGGAAGUGGUGGUAGGUGAGAAAUGACUGUGCCUAAGGCUCUAUCAAGGAUCAACAGCUUGCUAAUACAUGAAGAUUUGACAGUGCCAGUCCUUUAGCCUGUUAUAAAAGCUUUUUAUAGUAUAGACCAGCCUUCAGCCUUGAGUUCUCUACUCAGUACAAGCAAGUGUAAAUGAUUUGCUUAAUUGAAAUGUGUCUUCAGUUCCUAAAUAACUCUGCAGUCUCAGUAAUCUGAUACGCCUUGGUGAGGAGAUGUUGCCAGUGCGGGCCACCACGUGCUGCUUCCCCCAAGCCCUGCAUGUUCUUCAGCUCCAGAUUCCAGCACGACAUUCGUUCCCAGUGAGCCAUGCACCAUCACUCAACAAACCCUACAUAUGGAACAAGGCAGGCGCUUGUACAGCCGUGAAACCCGGCUGCUUCCUCUCGGUUGCAAACUGAAAUGUUCCGGUUGGCAGCAGAAGGGAAACCCUGAAGAGCUCUGCACCAAGGAGCCAAGGAAAACUGGAGAGCACCUCUACAGGGAUGGAGCUUUUGUCUCUCCUAUGAGCAGCCUAAGAGAAAUCUGCUUUCUGCCUUUAUGUGGGUUUUGGUCCCUUUCCCUCAUUCCCCAGUUUCUCUGAGUGUAUUGUGAGUCCCAAGGGGGCUGUAAGCGCUGGAACAGUGCAGUUUUAUGGACAAGCUCUGAAGCAAGAGACAGACUGCCCCAUCUCUGAAUAAGUCCCAACAUCCACUGCCAAAGUUUGGAUUGAUGCAUAUGAUGGGACCAAGGAAAAAAAAAGUCUCAUUUACCUGUCCUGAGGCCCUGAACCACACUAUAAUAUUGGGACUGAUGAAGCAUGUAUCCUGCUCUUAGCCACUUGAAACAGGGUUGUUCUAGUUGCUUCUCAGAAUGUGUUUUCCAUUAAGCAGCUCUAUACAAGUUUCUGAGUCAGUGAAGGUGACACGUGGAAAAACAAAGAAAGAAAAUUUAGGAAAGAUGAGAUCCAGACAGUUAACAUUUUAAAGAAAUCUACACAAUGGAAACAACUGCAGUUUAAAUGAAAGUACUAUUUUUUUGUUAGCACUACCAUUCCUGUCAAUGGAAAAAAAAUCUUCUCAGCUUAUUAUUGCUGUGGUCAAAACCAGCAGCAUCCAGAAAGUAAAUGUUUUCAAUGAUAAUCUAACGAAAAUAACGUCUGGCUCUCUGGUGUGUUAUUUGUUUGAAUUGUAUGCUCGCUCUAAGUCAGACUGUGAACUCCUGAGGAACACUAAAUGCCAGCGGCACUUGCAACCAUGACAAAGCAGGACCCUUUCUCACCUGGAACAAGAAAAGUUCUGAUGUGCUGUCCUGUUCCUCCAGUGUUUCUAUCACAGCAGACAUGGAGUAUGCCACAAAUGACCCUCUUUCAAUAUCUCCCUUACAGAUUUUAACCUCUGACACCAGUAAUUCCUUCUACUGCACUUCAGUCACCUUGCCCCAAAAGAUGAAGAACAG